AGCUCCAAUAGCGUAUACUAAUGUUGUUGCAGUUAAAAAAGCUCGUAGUCGGAUUUCAGUAGGCUCAGUUUAGUCUUCAUUGUAAGAUCUAUAUGGGCCUGCUUCUUUGACAGAAACUUCUAUGUUAUUCAUUUAGCGUGGGCAGCGACUGUCUCUUUUACUUUGAGAAAAUUAGAGUGUUCAAAGCAGGUAGAUGCCUGAAUAUUACUCUUGGAAUAAUGCUAUAAG
rnacentral:rRNA from 1 species